GUACGCCUCCUCACAUCAGUGGUGCCAGCACUUGGGACUUUAAUAUUGUUAGGAUUUCCAGAAGUCUCUUUUUAGUGACUGAGAUCACCCAAGUUACUCCUUCACCGAGGAACAGGCCUCAGCAGCAUUUCCUUUUCCCUAAUACUAGCCCAUCCCACCUAACCCCACAUCUACUAGGGAUGGACGAACGUGGAAAGCACUUGCUACUCAAAGUGUGGUCCUCAGCCUGGACACCGGCAACAUCCAAAAGCUUCUUAGAAGUGCAAAAGGUCACACCCAUUCAUAGACUGAUGGAACAGAAGCUCUUUAAGGAUCCCAGGCACCCAGACCACAGCAAAAUAUUUCUUGUAACCCUUGGGACUGGAGAGAUGGUUCAGCCAUUAAGAAGGUGGACUGCUCUUACAGAGGGCCUGGCAGCUUACAAAUGCCUGUAACUCUAGGUCCAGCAGGACUGCGUGCCUUUGUGAGUGGACCCACACAUAUGGACACACACAACUGAGAAAAUAUUAAAAAUAGUUCUUGGGAUUCUGGAGCCAUUGUCCCUUUCUCCUUCUAUAGUUGCUCUGAGCACUUCCCGAAUUAAGCCUUGUACUGGAAUCUUUUGUGACCCUCUGAAGGUCAGGCAUUGGAUCCCUUCUGUCAGAGUGAGCCCUUGGACUACUGGACAGGUUUCGUUUUAGCGCUUUGCCGAUGUUUACUUACCUCUCGCUGUUCAAUAAGCGUCUUUGUGAGGACAAGGAAGAAACGGCAGGUACCUGAGAAGCUUCUGCACACAGCCAGAAAGGGUUUGAACGGAAAGCCUGCUCUGCAGCAUGGUUUACUUAAUAAAUGUUAAGUGAAAACAUUAAA
rnacentral:lncRNA from 1 species